UACGAAGGGUGCAAGCGUUACUCGGAAUUACUGGGUGUAAAGCGUGCGUAGGUGGUUCGUUAAGUCUGAUGUGAAAGCCCUGGGCUCAACCUGGGAAUGGCAUUGGAAACUGGCGACCUAGAGUGCGGUAGAGGGUAGUGGAAUUCCCGGUGUAGCAGUGAAAUGCGUAGAGAUCGGGAGGAACAUCCGUGGCGAAGGCGACUACCUGGACCAGCACUGACACUGAGGCACGAAAGCGUGGGGAGCAAACAGG
rnacentral:rRNA from 1 species